rnacentral:misc_RNA from 1 species
AAAAAAUGAAAUUGUACAAGUUUGGCUCAAUCACUCAUUACUCAACCUAAUUUCUAAGAUGUCUUACAAGGCUUGGAUUUCAAAGAAAUUCCUAUUUUAUUGACAUUUGUACAAUUCAAGUCAAGAUAGAGAUUUGUUGGCAUAUCUUAAAUUGUGAGGACAAUUCAAGUCCAUGCUCAAUUGGUAAACAAGCCAAUCUUAAGCCAACUAAACCGUAGCACAUGUAGGUUGUUUACCAAAAGAA